GCCUAAUACAUGCAAGUCGAGCGGAUCUCUGAAGGAGCUUGCUCCUAGCUUGCUCCUGAUGAGGUUAGCGGCGGACGGGUGAGUAACACGUAGGCAACCUGCCUGCAAGCCUGGGAUAACAUCCGGAAACGGAUGCUAAGACCGGAUACGCAACUUGGUCGCAUGACCAAGCUGGGAAAGACGGAGUAAUCUGUCGCUUGCAGAUGGGCCUGCGGCGCAUUAGCUAGUUGGUGAGGUAACGGCCCACCAAGGCGACGAUGCGUAGCCGACCUGGGAGGGUGAACGGCCACACUGGGACUGAGACACGGCCCAGACUCCUACGGGAGGCAGCAGUAGGGAAUCUUCCACAAUGGACGCAAGUCUGAUGGAGCAACGCCGCGUGAGUGAGGAGGGCCUUCGGGUCGUAAAGCUCUGUUGCCAGGGAAGAACGCCUAGGAGAGUAACUGCUCUUAGGGUGACGGUACCUGAGAAGAAAGCUCCGGCUAACUACGUGCCAGCCGCCGCAGUAACAC
rnacentral:rRNA from 1 species